rnacentral:rRNA from 1 species
AUUGAACGCUGGCGGCAUGCUUUACACAUGCAAGUCGGACGGCAGCACAGAGAAGCUUGCUUCUUGGGUGGCGAGUGGCGAACGGGUGAGUAACAUAUCGGAACGUACCGAGCAGUGGGGGAUAACUAAUCGAAAGAUUAGCUAAUACCGCAUAUUUUCUGAGGAAGAAAGCAGGGGACCAUUUGGCCUUGCGCUGUUUGAGCGGCCGAUAUCUGAUUAGCUAGUUGGUGGGGUAAAGGCCUACCAAGGCGACGAUCAGUAGCGGGUCUGAGAGGAUGAUCCGCCACACUGGGACUGAGACACGGCCCAGACUCCUACGGGAGGCAGCAGUGGGGAAUUUUGGACAAUGGGCGCAAGCCUGAUCCAGCCAUGCCGCGUGUCUGAAGACCUUCGGUUGUAAAGGACUUUUGUCAGGGAAGAAAAGGGCGGGGUUAAUACCCCUGUCUGAUGACGGUACCUGAAGAAUAAGCACCGCUAACUAAC